AUUGAACGCUGGCGGCAUGCCUUACACAUGCAAGUCGAACGGCAGCGCGGGAGCAAUCCUGGCGGCGAGUGGCGAACGGGUGAGUAAUAUAUCGGAACGUGCCCAGUAGUGGGGGAUAGCCCGGCGAAAGCCGGAUUAAUACCGCAUGAGACCUGAGGGUGAAAGCGGGGGAUCGCAAGACCUCGCGCUACUGGAGCGGCCGAUAUCAGAUUAGCUAGUUGGUGGGGUAAAGGCCUACCAAGGCAACGAUCUGUAGUUGGUCUGAGAGGACGACCAGCCACACUGGGACUGAGACACGGCCCAGACUCCUACGGGAGGCAGCAGUGGGGAAUUUUGGACAAUGGGCGCAAGCCUGAUCCAGCAAUGCCGCGUGCAGGAAGAAGGCCUUCGGGUUGUAACUGCUUUGUCAGGGAAGAAAGUACCCUUGGGAGUAAUACCUCGGGGGAGUGACGGUACC
rnacentral:rRNA from 1 species